GAUGAACGCUGGCGGCGUGCCUAAUACAUGCGAGUCGAGCGAACAGACGAGAAGCUUGCUUCUCUGAUGUUAGCGGCGGACGGGUGAGUAACACGUGGAUAACCUACCUAUAAGACUGGGAUAACUUCGGGAAACCGGAGCUAAUACCGGAUAAUAUUUUGAACCGCAUGGUUCAAAAGUGAAAGACGGUCUUGCUGUCACUUAUAGAUGGAUCCGCGCUGCAUUAGCUAGUUGGUAAGGUAACGGCUUACCAAGGCAACGAUGCAUAGCCGACCUGAGAGGGUGAUCGGCCACACUGGAACUGAGACACGGUCCAGACUCCUACGGGAGGCAGCAGUAGGGAAUCUUCCGCAAUGGGCGAAAGCCUGACGGAGCAACGCCGCGUGAGUGAUGAAGGUCUUCGGAUCGUAAAACUCUGUUAUUAGGGAAGAACAUAUGUGUAAGUAACUGUGCACAUCUUGACGGUACCUAAUCAGAAAGCCACGGCUAACUACGUG
rnacentral:rRNA from 1 species